AUAUCAAUAAGCGGAGGAAAAGAAACCAACAGGGAUUGCCUUAGUAACGGCGAGUGAAGCGGCAAAAGCUCAAAUUUGAAAUCUGGCACCUUCGGUGUCCGAGUUGUAAUUUGAAGAAGGUAACUUUGGAGUCAGCUCUUGUCUAUGUUCCUUGGAACAGGACGUCACAGAGGGUGAGAAUCCCGUGCGAUGAGAUGUCUGAUUCUAUGUAAAGUGCUUUCGAAGAGUCGAGUUGUUUGGGAAUGCAGCUCUAAGUGGGUGGUAAAUUCCAUCUAAAGCUAAAUAUUGGCGAGAGACCGAUAGCGAACAAGUACAGUGAUGGAAAGAUGAAAAGAACUUUGAAAAGAGAGUGAAAAAGUACGUGAAAUUGUUGAAAGGGAAGGGUUUGAGAUCAGACUUGGUAUUUUGUAUGUCUUGCUUUCGGGUGGGGCCUCUACAGUUUACUGGGCCAGCAUCGGUUUGGACGGUAGGAUAAUGACAUUGGAAUGUGGCACCACUUCGGUGGUGUGUUAUAGACUUUGUUGAUACUGCCUGUCUAGACCGAGGACUGCGU
rnacentral:rRNA from 2 species